AGAAAACAUAGAGGUGGGUUUUAAUUUGAGACAGCAGAUGACCACCUUUUUUUUUUUUUUUUUGAGAGGGAACGGAGGACAAAUCCAAUGGUGGUGGAUUAAAAACUUGCUCUUAGUUUUCCAUCUCCAGCUUUUAUUAUUUAUUUAAUCAUCCCCAUGUCUCUUAAAGCGGGGGGGAGGAAUCGCGUUCUUUACUGCACUAUGUCAUCUGUAUUAGCUGAGGCUAUUUUCAUUGAGUGCUUAAGCUAAUCAGUUUGUGUUUCUUCCCAGAGUGGAUUACAAAGUGCUCAUGUGCUUCUGUCACCUGCCGAAUUUAUGGAGUGCUAAUCUGGUGAUUUUUGAUGGAAGGACAUAUCAGACAGCUGAGGUUUGGUAUAAUUUUGAGCCAGCAUGUCUGCUCAUACAGAGAAUGUCUGUACGCUGCCUUUAGGAUGAUCAGACAUGUAAGCUUCCAGAUCCAGGCUUCUUAACAGGACCCCCAAAUAGCGAGCUGUUGCCGUUACAAGCCCAGUGCCUUUCUUUCCAAGGGUGCUUCUUCAGCAGAGCCAUCAGAAGCCAGUGCAGUGGCCAGUGCUGGCUCAAGCUGGCCUGUAUGGUGUGUGGAGCAAGCUGCUUCCUUGGUAUUCCAGCCCAGCAUCUCCUCUGAAGCAGUGUGUACUGGAAGAUGCAGUGGUUGUUCUUCUCAUACGGGAUUGCCUGGAGGCUGCAGCCAGCUGGAGAUUGGCCUUUUCCCCCUCUUGGAAGGGGGAAGCCUGAAGUGCAUUGACCCAGCUGG